rnacentral:rRNA from 1 species
ACGCUAGCUACAGGCUUAACACAUGCAAGUCGAGGGGCAGCAUUUUAGUUUGCUUGCAAACUAAAGAUGGCGACCGGCGCACGGGUGAGUAACACGUAUCCAACCUGCCGAUAACUCGGGGAUAGCCUUUCGAAAGAAAGAUUAAUAUCCGAUAGUAUAUUAAAACCGCAUGGUUUUACUAUUAAAGAAUUUCGGUUAUCGAUGGGGAUGCGUUCCAUUAGUUUGUUGGCGGGGUAACGGCCCACCAAGACUACGAUGGAUAGGGGUUCUGAGAGGAAGGUCCCCCACAUUGGAACUGAGACGCGGUCCAAACUCCUACGGGAGGCAGCAGUGAGGAAUAUUGGUCAAUGGACGAGAGUCUGAACCAGCCAAGUAGCGUGAAGGAUGACUGCCCUAUGGGUUGUAAACUUCUUUUAUAUGGGAAUAAAGUAUUCCACGUGUGGAAUUUUGUAUGUACCAUAUGAAUAAGGAUCGGCUAACUCCGUGCCAGCAGCCGCGGUAAUACGGAGGAUCCGAGCGUUAUCCGGAUUUAUUGGGUUUAAAGGGAGCGUAGGUGGAUUGUUAAGUCAGUUGUGAAAGUUUGCGGCUCAACCGUAAAAUUGCAGUUGAAACUGGCAGUCUUGAGUACAGUAGAGGUGGGCGGAAUUCGUGGUGUAGCGGUGAAAUGCUUAGAUAUCACGAAGAACUCCGAUUGCGAAGGCAGCUCACUAGACUGCAACUGACACUGAUGCUCGAAAGUGUGGGUAUCAAACAGGAUUAGAUACCCUGGUAGUCCACACAGUAAACGAUGAAUACUCGCUGUUUGCGAUAUACAGUAAGCGGCCAAGCGAAAGCAUUAAGUAUUCCACCUGGGGAGUACGCCGGCAACGGUGAAACUCAAAGGAAUUGACGGGGGCCCGCACAAGCGGAGGAACAUGUGGUUUAAUUCGAUGAUACGCGAGGAACCUUACCCGGGCUUAAAUUGCAUUUGAAUAAUCUGGAAACAGGUUAGCCGCAAGGCAAAUGUGAAGGUGCUGCAUGGUUGUCGUCAGCUCGUGCCGUGAGGUGUCGGCUUAAGUGCCAUAACGAGCGCAACCCUUAUCUUUAGUUACUAACAGGUCAUGCUGAGGACUCUAGAGAGACUGCCGUCGUAAGAUGUGAGGAAGGUGGGGAUGACGUCAAAUCAGCACGGCCCUUACGUCCGGGGCUACACACGUGUUACAAUGGGGGGUACAGAAGGCAGCUACCUGGUGACAGGAUGCUAAUCCCAAAAACCUCUCUCAGUUCGGAUCGAAGUCUGCAACCCGACUUCGUGAAGCUGGAUUCGCUAGUAAUCGCGCAUCAGCCAUGGCGCGGUGAAUACGUUCCCGGGCCUUGUACACACCGCCCGUCAAGCCAUGAAAGCCGGGGGUACAUGAAGUACGUAACCGCAAGGAGCGUCCUAGGGUAAAACUG